GAUGAACGCUGGCGGCAGGCUUAACACAUGCAAGUCGAACGGGCGUAGCAAUACGUCAGUGGCAGACGGGUGAGUAACACGUGGGAACCUUCCUAGGGGUACGGAACAACUCAGGGAAACUUGAGCUAAUACCGUAUACGUCCGUGAGGAGAAAGAUUUAUCGCCCUUAGACGGGCCCGCGUCGGAUUAGGUAGUUGGUGGGGUAACGGCCUACCAAGCCUACGAUCCGUAGCUGAUCUGAGAGGAUGAUCAGCCACACUGGGACUGAGACACGGCCCAGACUCCGUACGGGAGGCAGCAGUGGGGAAUCUUGGACAAUGGGCGCAAGCCUGAUCCAGCCAU
rnacentral:rRNA from 1 species